AGUAUGUCACUUUACCGAGGAGAGGCACAGAGGAGGACUGGGAGUCGAGUCCAACUUACGAAUUGUGACAGCUGCUCACGGUGCACUUUUCGGGAAUAUUUGACGUGCUACCUUUUCAGAAAUAUGUAUUUUAUCAAUAGGUUUAGACGCUGUUUUACAGUUUCUGGGUGAAAUAGUUUGGAUUUAUUGGAGUUUGGGGUUAAACCGCAGCCUUUCUGUAACCCUUUGAUCAAGCGACCGCUGAGGACAUUUUUUAAUCAGAACCGUUUUUUUUUCUUGAUAGGCCUUAUGUUUCCCUGAAAGCCGUAUUCAUUACCAGCUUGCUUCAUCAGGUUACACUUGACCAGAGGCAUACGUGACGAUGCGCUCGCCUCACCCUUACUGAAAGAAGAAGAAAGCGAGUGACAACGUUGCAAUUUCUCGGGAAAUCUAAAGUUGACUCGAGUUGGAGGAUCAUUAUCAUCAUAUCUCCCCUGAAUCUCUGGACUGGUGGAUUUCUCUUGCAUUGCUAAAUAUUACACCUGGUCGUCUGACAGGCACCGCAAAAUGAAAAUUUCGUUUGUCAUCCAGAUUGCGGUGGUGCUUCAACUUCAGUUUUCACCUGCACAGUGCUCUCACUUAACCACCACAAACAGCACAAGUGAAGUGAUAAUGUUCCAGGAAGUGUGGGGGCGGAGCUUCUGUCGGACCAUUGAGAAGCUGGUGGAGGUGGUUCUGGAGUACCCUGGGGAGGUGGAGCAUAUCUUCAGCCCUUCCUGCGUCCCCCUCGUUCGCUGCGCUGGUUGCUGUGGUGAUGAGAACCUAGAGUGUCAUCCUACACAGUCAUCCAAUGUCACCAUGCAGCUGUUGAAAAUCAAGCCUGCCGAGCAGGGCCAAGAAUAUGUCGAGAUGACAUUUGUGGAGCACCUGACAUGUGAAUGUAGAAUCAGGAAAGCAAUGGGAAAAAGUGAAAGGAAAAGACAACGAAUAAGAGGGAGGAAGAGGAAGGAGAGACAGAGAGUGAAGGACUGUGACAGGUGACCAGCAUCUUCAUGUGUUACAGUCAACUGAGCAGGAUUAUUAGCACCCCUGCUGCCAGCCCCCUCGUAGGUAACUGAAGCAGCAGCAGCCCUGCCCUGUCGCACCCGGCCCCCUAUUUAUGAUCUGCCCAGUGCUAUCAGCUUCAAGAGCCUUCUGAGUACAUCCCCUGUUGGCCCUCACUGCACCCAGAGACUCUCGCUGCUGGGCGUCACGGUGACAGCUCCCGUGGUUACCGGGGGCAUCUCCUGACUAAAGCAGCUGCUAGGUUAAACCCACCGUGACACAUUUGACGCAAGUUAAAUUACUCUUCUAGAGACCUGUGUAAUGGAGGACCAUAAGGACCAGACAUCAUGCGAUCCUUCUCAAGUACAAGUUCAAGUUGUUAUGUAUUUUUGGCUAUUUCUCUCUAUUACCGUAUUACAUGAUUAUUAUUAUCAUUGGCUAAUGUUGUUUUUCAUCACUGUGGUUGAUUAAGCGGGUUUCUCCCUUUUGUAAUGAAUAUUUAUUUAUGCUUUUUUUUGCUUUCAUCAAAUCAAAGUACAUAUUUCUAUCUUGUUUUUGACUAAACUCGGAACAGGUUUCCGUUGCUUUAUUACAACUUAAGGACCAAAAGAACUUCCUUGACCUCCAUUUCAACAGUAUCUCAUCUUACUCAAGAUCAGGGGGCGGUUCCGGGGAGGGGGGCAGGGGGGGGGGGGGGGGCAGUGCCCCUGUGACAACAACCUUGUACCCCCCUUGUGUCCCCCUAAAUGUAGAGUCUGAAUAAUGAUAAACAUGUUCUUGCCUGUUAAUGCCUGCAAUGCAGUGAAGAAAACUAUACCACAACUGCAAUGUUUAAUGUAACUGGCCCCUCUAACAGUACAACUGACCCCACCUUGCCCCCCCCCCCCCCCC